ensembl:lncRNA
AUGCCGUGUUCCCUAAUUUUUUUUUUUCUGUGUAUUUCAACACAGGUGUACAAAAAUGUGCUAACUUUACUACUUUGUCAUACACUGGCAACUUCUGUAACAUUUAGGGACUAGAUGUUGCAAAAUUUGGACUUGUCUGUUAUAUACACUAUAUGCACAGCAAAACAAAACCCACAAAACAUACAGAAAAAUUAUGUCUCAAAAUGUCCAAGUACAAGUGCACUAACAUAAUACCUUUGCAAUUGCUUCCCUCCUACCUCCUCCAAACCACUGAACAAGUACAGACAGUACCAUACUGCUCAAGAGGUGGUUUAACCAUUCCAUUUCCAUCAACAUUUCUUAUGAACUUUAGCAAGAUAUUUACAAAGUGAUAUUUUACUACCUCUACAUUUAACAUACUUUGGGCACUUCUAAACAUCUAGAAAAGACUAGAUGAUUCAAGUAGGGACUCAAUUUGUCCAUUAUAUAUACACAGCAGUCGAUUAAACUGCAUAUAUGUAACAAUAGUUGAAAGUGUCUUGGAAAUAUGAGCAUUUUAGUCUAGAACCCUUCCAAAAUGCUCAAAUUUUCAGAAGACAAACUUUCCUGGAAUUUUAAUACAAAAUGUACAAAAUUUGUUAGUUUACUAACUCCACCUUUGUCAAAACUGGCAACCUCUUUAACAUCUAGCAAGACUAGAUGUUGUAUAAGGUCUCAUUUAUCUUUUACAUACCCUACAUACACAGCAAAGUAAAAAUGCACAGACAUAAGGGGCAAUAGUAACUUGCCUUGCUAUAAGUGCACUAGCACAGCGCUCUAUUUCCUUCUCUUCCGAGAACCAGUGCAUAAACAAUGUGUACUACUCAAGAGGGGGUUUGCCUACUCCCCCACAAAAUAACACUUCAUGUGAGUUCUAACAAAAAGAAAUUUACAAAAUGUGUUAUUUUACUACUACUACUUUUUAACAUGUAUCAGGCACUUGAGAAUUAUCUCAAAAGACCAGAUGGUUCAAUAAAGUACUUAGCAUUGUCAGUUAUAUACAUACUAAUGAGGACUAAAAUGCACACACAAAACAAUGGUUACAAUACAAACAACGUCUUCUACAUGUAACCAGUCUGGUACUGGACAUUCUUCUGUCUUCUCCAAGUCCUCUAACAGAACAAAUGCAGACAAGAAUCACCCCUAGUGUCGCUUCUCCAGGUGGUCUACCCAUAUUCAUUUCAAAGUCACUCUCAGAAAACGUUUCUUUUCUGUCAUUUUUUUAAAAUAAAUGGGCGUUUCCAAGACGUGUGGGUUUUCUAACUUCUUUAUCCCAGGUCGGCACCUUCUUUACUUCUAUAUUGUCCACAUGCAGCAAGUUUUCUUUUAAAAGGUUGGGGGAAUGUUGAGAGCAGCUUUUUCAUAUUAUAUACACAGGCCUUCUGAAAAUGGCCAGUAAAUCUUCCCAAAAGGUAGUGGGCAUUUCCAAUUAGCCAAAGGUGGAAUGUUACUUUAAGUUUCUCUCUUUGGCAACUGCCCAUGGCCCGCCAUUCUUUCCACCUGUCCUCGGCCUGAGCUCCCUCACCUUCUAGGGCGGGUAAGGCCUUUAUUCGUCCUCGUCGCAAGG